rnacentral:rRNA from 1 species
AUUGAACGCUGGCGGCAUGCUUUACACAUGCAAGUCGAACGGACGCGCGGGCUUCGGCCUGGCGGCGCGUGGCGAACGGGUGAGUAAUACAUCGGAACGUGCCCUGCAGUGGGGGCUAGCACGGCGUAAGCCGGAUUAAUACCGCAUACGACCAGAGGGUGAAAGCGGGGGUUCUUCGGACCUCGCGCUAUUUGAGCGCACGAUGGCAGAUUAGCUAGUUGGUGGGGUAAAGGCCUACCAAGGCGACGAUCUGUAGCUGGUCUGAGAGGACGACCAGCCACACUGGGACUGAGACACGGCCCAGACUCCUACGGGAGGCAGCAGUAGGGAAUUUUGGGCAAUGGGCGAAAGCCUGAUCCAGCAAUGCCGCGUGUGUGAUGAAGGCCUUCGGGUUGUAAAGCACUUUUGGCGGGAACGAAAAGAACUGUACCAAUACCACGGUUCGAUGACGGUACCCGCAGAAUAAGCACCGGCUAACUACGUG